AGUGAACGCUGGCGGUAGGCCUAACACAUGCAAGUCGAACGGCAGCACAGUAAGAGCUUGCUCUUACGGGUGGCGAGUGGCGGACGGGUGAGGAAUACAUCGGAAUCUACUUUUUCGUGGGGGAUAACGUAGGGAAACUUACGCUAAUACCGCAUACGACCUACGGGUGAAAGCAGGGGAUCUUCGGACCUUGCGCGAUUGAAUGAGCCGAUGUCGGAUUAGCUAGUUGGCGGGGUAAAGGCCCACCAAGGCGACGAUCCGUUGCUGGUCUGAGAGGAUGAUCGGCCACACUGGAACGGAGACGCGGUCCAGACGCCUAAGGGAGGCAGCAGUGGGGAAUAUUGGACAAUGGGCGCAAGCCUGAUCCAGCCAUAGCGCGUGGGUGAAGAAGGCCUUCGGGUUGUAAAGCCGUUUUGUUGGGAAAGAAAAGCAGCAGGUUAAUACCACGCUGUUGUGACGGUACCCGAAGAAUAAGCACCGGCUAACUACGUG
rnacentral:rRNA from 1 species